rnacentral:rRNA from 1 species
UCCGGCCUACGGGACGCAGCAGUGAGGAAUAUUGGUCAAUGGGAGAGAUCCUGAACCAGCCAAGCCGCGUGAGGGAAGACGGCCCUAUGGGUUGUAAACCUCUUUUGUCGGAGAACAAAACCCGGGACGUGUCCCGGACUGCGUGUAUCCGAAGAAAAAGCAUCGGCUAACUCCGUGCCAGCAGCCGCGGUAAUACGGAGGAUGCGAGCGUUACUCGGAAUCACUGGGCGUAAAGAGCGCGUAGGCGGGAUAGCAAGUCAGAUGUGAAAUCCUAUGGCUUAACCAUA